ACAUGCAAGUCGAGCGGAAACGAUCCUAGCUUGCUAGGAGGCGUCGAGCGGCGGACGGGUGAGUAAUGCAUAGGAAUCUGCCCGGUAGUGGGGGAUAACCUGAGGAAACUCAGGCUAAUACCGCAUACGUCCUACGGGAGAAAGCAGGGGCUCUUCGGACCUUGCGCUAUCGGAUGAGCUUAUGUCGGAUUAGCUGGUUGGUGAGGUAACGGCUCACCAAGGCGACGAUCCGUAGCUGGUCUGAGAGGAUGAUCAGCCACAUCGGGACUGAGACACGGCCCGAACUCCUACGGGAGGCAGCAGUGGGGAAUAUUGGACAAUGGGGGCAACCCUGAUCCAGCCAUGCCGCGUGUGUGAAGAAGGCCCUCGGGUUGUAAAGCACUUUCAGUGAGGAAGAAGGCUUGUCGGUUAAUACCCGGCAAGAAAGACAUCACUCACAGAAGAAGCACCGGCUAACUCCGUGCCAGCAGCCGCGGUAAUACGGAGGGUGCGAGCGUUAAUCGGAAUUACUGGGCGUAAAGCGUGCGUAGGCGGCUUGAUAAGCCGGUUGUGAAAGCCCCGGGCUCAACCUGGGAACGGCAUCCGGAACUGUCAGGCUAGAGUGCAGGAGAGGAAGGUAGAAUUCCCGGUGUAGCGGUGAAAUGCGUAGAGAUCGGGAGGAAUACCAGUGGCGAAGGCGGCCUUCUGGACUGACACUGACGCUGAGGUACGAAAGCGUGGGUAGCAAACAGGAUUAGAUACCCUGGUAGUCCACGCCGUAAACGAUGUCGACUAGCCGUUGGGGUCCUCGAGACCUUUGUGGCGCAGUUAACGCACUAAGUCGACCGCCUGGGGAGUACGGCCGCAAGGUUAAAACUCAAAUGAAUUGACGGGGGCCCGCACAAGCGGUGGAGCAUGUGGUUUAAUUCGAUGCAACGCGAAGAACCUUACCUACCCUUGACAUCGUGCGAACUUUCCAGAGAUGGAUUGGUGCCUUCGGGAACGCACAGACAGGU
rnacentral:rRNA from 1 species